CUCUGUCUUUCUAUUCUGCUCUGUUCUAUUCCAUAGUCUAUUCUAUUCUAUUCUAAAUUCUAUUCUUAUGAAAAAGAAAUUUCCUUACUGAAGUUCUAUCAAUUUUUAUGCGAACUUUGCUUUGCCCAAAAUAUUUCUAUUCUGACUUUCAAUCAAGAAACAUCAAGAUGGUAGGAGCAGCAAGGUCCAUGCAGCUUUCUUCCAGCCCUGUGCAAAGCUCCUUAUGGUACACCAGUCCUACAGGAAAUGGCAAUCUGCAUCAAAGAGGCAACGAAUGAGAAAUCCACCGAGCCAACUCAAAAAUGACAACAGAUACGUGUAUUAUUUCUUUUUGGCAUUUUUAAUCUGGCACUCUACAGUUUGGAUUGAAACUGCAGAAUAGUCAAGUGCCCAGAGACCAGCUCAAGACUUAAGAUACUUUGGGGGAUCUUGUGCAACAAAUCAAACAUCUGGAAGAUUGAGACCAGCAUAUCUACAUCCAUUGGGAAAACAGAAAAUACCAAGAAACAGUCUCUUUCUUCAUAUAAAUGGUAAUCAGAGCAGCUAAUUAUUUUGUCUUCUUUUUACCUCCAAAGCUCUUCCCAUAUAAUAAAGCCGGAUAAAAUACUAUUCAAUUUUUCUCAAGCUGCAGAUAUGCAGCAGCAAAAAACAAAAAACAAAAAAAAAACCAAAAAAAACCCAUAAAACAGACCACCUUCCCAAACUGGCUUACAAUUAAUUUCUGGCUCAUUUAAACUAAAAGCAAGUGCCUCUUAAGCAGGAGGUUUUGGUAAGAUAAUAUCCAUUUGAAUGAGCCACUCGUCACCCCAACAGUAAAUGUAAAAAUUGGGCCUUUGACUAUGAUCCAUCAAAACUAGCCCUGUGGAUAAUUCAGUCUCUCUUCUACAUCAUGCCUCUAGAGCCCACAUUAUUUCUAGAAAGACAUUCUUCCCAGUUUCUGUUCUUUCCUUUGUGCUAGAUCUUUCAGUACUAACUUUGGCGCAUGUGACUUUUGGGCCAAGCAAAUGUAUAUCUUCUAAAAUAGCUUUAAAAAAGCAUUGACGUGAAAUUCAAACCAUUUGUUCCAGAUGUGGCCUGUGUAACUAACUGGCAAAGUGGAUUCCCCACUCUUACUCACAGCAGCCCAUGAG